rnacentral:rRNA from 1 species
ACUCCUACGGGAGGCAGCAGUGGGGAAUAUUGCACAAUGGGCGCAAGCCUGAUGCAGCCAUGCCGCGUGUGUGAAGAAGGCCUUCGGGUUGUAAAGCACUUUCAGCAGUGAGGAAGGCGGAGUCGUUAAUAGCGGCCUCGUUUGACGUUAGCUGCAGAAGAAGCACCGGCUAACUCCGUGCCAGCAGCCGCGGUAAUACGGAGGGUGCGAGCGUUAAUCGGAAUUACUGGGCGUAAAAGCGCAUGCAGGUGGUUUGUUAAGUCAGAUGUGAAAGCCCGGGGCUCAACCUCGGAAUAGCAUUUGAAACUGGCAGACUAGAGUCUUGUAGAGGGGGGUAGAAUUUCAGGUGUAGCGGUGAAAUGCGUAGAGAUCUGAAGGAAUACCAGUGGCGAAGGCGGCCCCCUGGACAAAGACUGACGCUCAGAUGCGAAAGCGUGGGGAGCAAACAGG